rnacentral:rRNA from 1 species
GACGUAGGAGGCGAGCGUUGUCCGGAUUCAUUGGGCGUAAAGAGCUCGUAGGCGGCUUGGCAAGUCGGGUGUGAAAACUUCAGGCUCAACCUGGAGCGGCCACUCGAUACUGCCAUGGCUUGAGUCCGGUAGGGGACCACGGAAUUCACGGUGUAGCAGUGAAAUGCGUAGAUAUCGUGAGGAAGACCAGUGGCGAAGGCGGGUCUCUGGACAGUUCCUGACACUGAGGCACGAAGGCCAGGGGAGCAAACGGG